rnacentral:piRNA from 14 species
GCCCGGCUAGCUCAGUCGGUAGAGCAUGAG